GAAUGAAGAACGCAGCGAAAUGCGAUAAGUAAUGUGAAUUGCAGAAUUCAGUGAAUCAUCGAAUCUUUGAACGCACAUUGCGCCCCUUGGUAUUCCGAGGGGCAUGCCUGUUCGAGCGUCAUUAUAACCCCUCAAGCUCAGCUUGGUGUUGGGGCCUGCCGCACGGGCAGCCCUUAAAAUCAGUGGCGGUGCCAUCUGGCUCUAAGCGUAGUAAUUCUUCUCGCUAUAGAGUCCCGGUGGAUGCUUGCCAUUAACCCCCAAUUUUCUAUGGUUGACCUCGGAUCAGGUAGGGAUACCCGCUGAACUUAAGCAUAUCAAUAAGCGGAGGA
rnacentral:misc_RNA from 1 species